rnacentral:rRNA from 1 species
UACGGAGGAGGCAAGCGUUAUCCGGAAUUAUUGGGCGUAAAGCGUCCGCAGGUGGCUAUUCAAGUCUGCGGUCAAAGACUGGGGCUUAACCCUGGAAAGGCCGUGGAAACUGAAGAGCUAGAGUGCAGUAGGGGUAGAGGGAAUUCCCGGUUUAGCGGUGAAAUGCGUAGAGCUCGGGAAGAACAUCGGUGGCGAAAGCGCUCUGCUGGACUGCAACUGACACUGAGGGACGAAAGCUAGGGGAGCGAAUGGG